rfam:Nicotiana sylvestris Nsyl_contig14994, whole genome shotgun sequence.
UGGACAGAUUAUUGUAUUCGACUGUAUUCACGGCGUAAAAUAGGGGAUUACACUGUUUUUAAAACGGAAAGUGAAUCAAUUAACAUAAUAGACUCCU